AUGUUCGAGUAUCUAAAUGUUGUCAGCAAGAUGUUUGAUAGUGAGGCUGAAGGCUAUGAAUUCUACAACAAAUAUGCUCUUGAAAAAGGUUUUAGUGUGAGGAAAAGCUACGUUGAGUGGGAUGGAUCCAACAAAUACAUAAUUUUAAGGAAAAUUGUGUAUAGUCGUGAAGGGUUUCGCGAAGAGAAGCACAUGAAAAGAAAGAUGGAAGAUAGAAAGAGGAGGCCACGAAGUUUAACUCGUGUUGGGUGUAAUGCUAAAUUGGUCAUUACGAGACACGAGGAAACCGGUCGGUGGUUUGUCAAGGAUUUCAUCGAUGAGCACAGCCAUCCUCUAGCCCCACGGGAUCUUUCUUGUCUACUGCGUUCGCACAGACGAAUUAGCGAUGAGCAGAAAGCGGACAUUGCGGACAUGGAAAAAUGUGGGAUCCGCAAAUACCGUAUUAUGGAUAUUUUGUGCUUUCAAUACGGUGGAUUUGAUAAGGUUGGAUGCAUAAAGAGGGACAUUUAUAAUUUCUGCCAUGCUAAUAAGCAGGAGACAAUCAGUGCCGGUGAUGCUAAUACGGUGAUCAUGCACAUGAUGGCGAGGCGAGAGCGAGAUGUGGAUUUUUUCUUCAAGUACUUGGUAGACGAGCAUGGCCAUCUGAAGGGACUGUUCUGGGCUGAUAGUCAAUCGCGACUUGACUACGAGGCUUUCGGAGACGUCAUUGUUUUCGAUAGCACAUAUAGAACCAACAAAUACAAUCUGCCAUUCGUGCCGUUUGUGGGGUUGAAUCACCACCGCAGCACUGUUAUUUUUGGUUGUGGUAUAAUUUCUCAUGAAACAAGCCAGGCAUACGAGUGGAUGUUGCGGACCUUUUCUGAUUGCAUGGCACAGAAGCAUCCGAUAUCUGUGAUCACAGAUGGGGACCUUGCAAUGCAGAGAGCAAUCAGGGUGGUCUGGCCAGACUCAAACCAUAGACUAUGUAUAUGGCACAUUCAGCAGAACAUUGUACGCCAUCUGCAUGAUGACGACGUAAAGGAGGAAUUCAGAUCUUUCAUUUAUGAUACUUCUUUCAUUGAAGAGCAUGAGAUAAAAUGGAUACAAUUCUUACAAUGGAAUAAAGUAACCAGUGAGGAGUCUUGGCUGCAUCAGAUGUAUCAGAUGAGAAAGUUGUGGUGUGCUCCAUAUCUUGAGGGGCGUUGUUUCCUAGGAUUGAGCAGCAAUCAGAGGAGUGAGAGCUUGAACUCUGUGCUACAUACGCAUCUUGAGGGUAAGAUGUCGUUGUUUGAAAUGCUAGAGCACUAUGAGCGUUGCCUUGCGUCGCGACGGAUUAACGAAGCUCUCCAAGACGUCGAAGCCUUGCAGUCCGUUCCAUUUACAGAGGAAAAUGCUUCGCCGCUUGAGAAACACGCCGCAACAGUUUUCACACCUAGUGUCUUUAAGAUGGUCUUAUGGAGCAUAGAUGCUGUCAGCAAAUGUCAGAUGAGAGAGAUACUAGAUGGAUGA
rnacentral:rRNA from 1 species